ACUCCUACGGGAGGCAGCAGUGGGGAAUAUUGCACAAUGGGCGCAAGCCUGAUGCAGCCAUGCCGCGUGUGUGAAGAAGGCCUUCGGGUUGUAAAGCACUUUCAGUCGUGAGGAAGGUAGUGUCGUUAAUAGCGGCAUCAUUUGACGUUAGCAACAGAAGAAGCACCGGCUAACUCCGUGCCAGCAGCCGCGGUAAUACGGAGGGUGCGAGCGUUAAUCGGAAUUACUGGGCGUAAAGCGCAUGCAGGUGGUUUGUUAAGUCAGAUGUGAAAGCCCGGGGCUCAACCUCGGAACUGCAUUUGAAACUGGCAGACUAGAGUACUGUAGAGGGGGGUAGAAUUUCAGGUGUAGCGGUGAAAUGCGUAGAGAUCUGAAGGAAUACCGGUGGCGAAGGCGGCCCCCUGGACAGAUACUGACACUCAGAUGCGAAAGCGUGGGGAGCAAACAGGAUUAGAUACCCUGGUAGCACAGAG
rnacentral:rRNA from 1 species